rnacentral:lncRNA from 1 species
AAUCAAUUCCAAUGAAUCUUCCAGUCCAUUUUCUUCAUAAACACCUAAAAUCCUCUCAUCAUCUUGCAAUGUACCUAACUUGCGUAACCGUCCUUCAAUAUCAUAUAAUCUUUUUCUUUCCUUUCUUUUAAAAUCAUCAACUUUCUUAUACAUAAUAUUUCCAUUCUCCAAUAUACCAAUAAAACUCGCAUCAAAGGCACCUUCAUCUCGCGAGAGUAUCUCCUCUUUUGUACCUCCACAAUCUUGCUUUACAGUGGUACCUCCCCAAAAUCCUUAAAUCCUUCAAUAAUCUUUGGCAAUGGUUUUUCCCUCAACCUAUCUCGAUUCCGUUCAUGGUUAGGAGGUA